rnacentral:rRNA from 1 species
GACGUAGGGUGCGAGCGUUGUCCGGAUUUAUUGGGCGUAAAGAGCUCGUAGGCGGCUCGUCGCGUCAGCUGUGAAAACCCGCGGCUUAACUGUGGGCUUGCAGCUGAUACGGGCGGGCUAGAGGUAGGUAGGGGAGAUCGGAAUUCCUGGUGUAGCGGUGAAAUGCGCAGAUAUCAGGAGGAACACCGGUGGCGAAGGCGGAUCUCUGGGCCUUACCUGACGCUCAGGCGCGAAAGCUAGGGGAGCGAACAGG